CUGCUCUGCCACAGCCCUCUCUUCCCGUUCACCGUAUUUCCGGGGCAAUUUCAAACUUCCUGCCGCGCAUCGAUCUUCUUCUAGCUCUAUCGAACGCGGCAAGUAUCUUCUUCUUUGUUCCCGAUUCCUUCUCCUCUUUGUUCUUAAGUCACUGAAAGAUUUCAAGCCUUUCGACUCGUAACGACGAUCGGUCGGUCUCCAUAAAAUGUACACCAUUCAGUCACGAGGAUCCCGGUGGGUCGUAUUCUACAGGACAGUGUGGUUUGCGGUACCUUUUGUAAGUUUCACGUUAAUAGCCUGUGUACUCCCACGCGCCACAUUAGGCCCCCCUUCAUUGUCGAGCAGGAGGCUCGAAUUUGCGAGGGAAUUUACAUCGGCGAUAUAAAUACAAUGGACUUGGAUUAUCCGGACGCGAUGGAACUGGGUGAUUUGAAUUUCGAUGAACGGCAGACCUUCUUCUCGAUACUUCGAUGACAAGUGGAAUUUUAGUUUGUAAAAAACGAGGCUAUGUACAGUAAUGAGAAUGGUCCCGGGGCUUACCAAACCUUCCCCUAGAUUCGAUUCCCCCCGGGCUUUUUGAAUAUUCAAAUUGAUUAGUAAAAAAGAUAAACGACAGAGGACGCUGCGAGCAGAAUAUUCCGAGUAUUUCGGAGUAGAAAGUAGACUGAUUUAUUUGAAUUCUAUUCUAUUAGCUGAAUUUAUAGUUCACUAAAAUUUGUGUAUUACAGAUGCUUGUUUCUUAGAAAAGUAUGUUAGUGUUUGUUACAAGUAACCCAAGAAUGAUUCUUCGUUAUAUCACAGAACUUGGGUGAUUAAUUGAUGUUGCAAGUAGGAAUGUUACAAGAUAUAUUGUUUUCAACAUUUGAUAUUUAUAAGUAUGACAGGGAAAACAAGCUUUGUUGCGAACAGAUGAAGGUGAGCCAUUGAACAAUGCUGCUGCUGACUUAGGUAUAAGAAUGUCAACUGUUUCUGAAUGCAAGAGGAUCAGAAAGGAAAUUGAAGGUUUUUGUGCUAAAAUGGUUUCCAAAGAUAAUUUAAUCAAAAGAGAAGCUCUUAAAAGACCUAAGAAUGUAAUGCCUCAAUGAAAUGUUAGGUUCUCAUCCUACAUUUACUGAAAGCAUGGGGUAGCUGGAAAACACCCCAUGGAAUAGAACUUAAUUUUCCUGGGGAAGGUCUGUUGGAAGAUCCUAUUCCAAAUGAUAAUUCAGAUCAUCUGUUAGUAUUAGAAUAUGUUUAUUAAUACAAGAUGAAGAUAGAACUUGAAGCUUUACUAAUAUUGGAUGACAUCAAGAAUCAACAAAUGUGAGUCACUCUGAAGCAAUAGAAAUACUUGAUAAAGUGACACUACGAAAAAUAAACUAAUAAUUUUAAGACAUUUUACACGUCCUCAAGAAGAAGAUGCAAAGAAGAGUUUGCAACAACCAGAAACUGAUGAUUUUCUUAAAUAACGUUCACUGAUGUAUAUUAUGUAAUUUUUUAA